UUCUAAUUUAUGUAAAUAACGUGUGUAAUAUAGGACUCACUGGAGAUACUACAUUAUACGCAGACGAUACCUGUAUUUUUUACUUUGGCACUGACCUCCUGCAACUCACACGGAAGGCUCAACUCGACUUGGACAAAUUUCAUACUUGGUGUCAGCACAAUCAAUUAACUAUUAACAUCAAAAAAACUUCCUUUAUGAUAUUUGCCGCAAAAAAUAAAACAAUCCCCCAACUUCCGCUCUUAACCAUCAAUAACGAAAUAGUUCAUCGUUCCCAUCAUGAAAAAUACCUUGGCCUCCACCUAGAUGAUAAAUUAAACUGGAAGGAACACAUUGAACACGUAAGAUCUAAAUUAACUUCCUUAACUGGUGCACUUCGUAAAAUUGCUGGAUGUGUCCCUCUUAAAGUACAAUAUCUAGUCGAAAUAUGGGGUUGUGCUGCCAAAACCAACUUAAUAAGUUUACAAAGGUCACAAAACAAGUUAAUAAAAUCCUUAUUCAAGUAUAACUACCUUAUGAAUACCAAAACACUUUACAAAAAAACCAAACUAUUCAAUAUAAAACAACUAUACACUUAUACUACUUGUAUCUUAAUUCAAAAAAUCCUAACAAAUAAAAUACAUACAAACAUUACAUUAACAAAACGAAAUUUUAGACAUUGCCUGAGAAAUACAGACAAAAUUAAAUUAUUUAAGCACAGAACAGGAUACGGCAAAAGAAACAUCAUGUCCGAGGGAGCACAGAUGUACAAUAACUUACCUAGUGAAGUGAAAAAUUGUAAGUCAUUAAAAAUGUUUAAAACCAAGUUGAAGAAAUAUAUCAGUGAUAAUGUAUAUUAAGUAUCAUCGACUAGCUGGAUGUGAUUGUAAACCACGUAUGAAAUUGUUUAUAGUUUAAGCUCAUUGUAAGUGAACUUUUGUUCUUUAUGAGUAAUAAAAAAUCUUUAAACCCAGAUA